rnacentral:rRNA from 1 species
ACAUGCAAGUCGAGCGGCAGCGGGAAGAUAGCUUGCUAUCUUUGCCGGCGAGCGGCGGACGGGUGAGUAAUGCCUAGGGAUCUGCCCAGUCGAGGGGGAUAACAGUUGGAAACGACUGCUAAUACCGCAUACGCCCUACGGGGGAAAGGAGGGGACCUUCGGGCCUUCCGCGAUUGGAUGAACCUAGGUGGGAUUAGCUAGUUGGUGAGGUAAUGGCUCACCAAGGCGACGAUCCCUAGCUGUUCUGAGAGGAUGAUCAGCCACACUGGGACUGAGACACGGCCCAGACUCCUACGGGAGGCAGCAGUGGGGAAUAUUGCACAAUGGGGGAAACCCUGAUGCAGCCAUGCCGCGUGUGUGAAGAAGGCCUUCGGGUUGUAAAGCACUUUCAGUAGGGAGGAAAGGUAGCAGCUUAAUACGCUGUUGCUGUGACGUUACCUACAGAAGAAGGACCGGCUAACUCCGUGCCAGCAGCCGCGGUAAUACGGAGGGUCCGAGCGUUAAUCGGAAUUACUGGGCGUAAAGCGUGCGCAGGCGGUUUGUUAAGCGAGAUGUGAAAGCCCCGGGCUCAACCUGGGAAUUGCAUUUCGAACUGGCGAACUAGAGUCUUGUAGAGGGGGGUAGAAUUCCAGGUGUAGCGGUGAAAUGCGUAGAGAUCUGGAGGAAUACCGGUGGCGAAGGCGGCCCCCUGGACAAAGACUGACGCUCAGGCAC